rnacentral:rRNA from 1 species
CACGUAGGAGGCGAGCGUUGUCCGGAAUCAUUGGGCGUAAAGAGCGCGCAGGCGGCUUGGCAAGUCGGGUGUGAAAUCCCGGGGCUCAACCCCGUGACUGCAUCCGAUACUGUCAGGCUAGAGGUAGGUAGGGGAGAUCGGAAUUCCUGGUGUAGCGGUGAAAUGCGCAGAUAUCAGGAGGAACACCGGUGGCGAAGGCGGCAUCCUGGACCGGCAUUGACGCUGAUGAGCGAAAGCUAGGGGAGCAAACGGG